rnacentral:rRNA from 1 species
UAAGGAAUAUUGGUCAAUGGACGCAAGUCUGAACCAGCGAUGCCGCGUGGAUGAUGAAGGCCUUCGGGUCGUAAAGUCCUUUUCUGAGGGAAGAACUGUUUGACGAGGAAAUGCGUCGAAUUUGACGGUACCUCAGGAAUAAGCAACGGCUAACUCCGUGCCAGCAGCCGCGGUAAUACGGAGGUUGCAAGCGUUGUUCGGAAUAACUGGGCGUAAAGGGAGCGCAGGCGGCUUGGUAAGUCUAAAGUGAAAUCCCAGGGCUCAACUCUGGACGUGCUUUAGAUACUGCCUGGCUUGAGUACGUGAGAGGAGAUUGGAAUUCCAGGUGUAGCGGUGAAAUGCGUAGAUAUCUGGAGGAACACCGGUGGCGAAAGCGGAUCUCUGGCACGUUACUGACGCUGAGGCUCGAAAGCGUGGGGAGCAAACGGGAUUAGAUACCCCGGUAGUCCACGCCGUAAACGUUGUGCGCUAGGUGUAGGAGGUAUCGACCCCUUCUGUGCCG